UUAGAACGAUGGCGAGCCGCCGUUUCCCAGAUCUUUACAAGAUGUUAGAACGGCAAGCCGCUCUUUCAUAGAUCUUUAGAAGAGCUUUAAAAGAUGCGGAGCCGCUCUUUUCCAGAUGUUUAGAAGAGCUUUAAAAGAUGCCGAGCCGCUCUUUCCCAGAUCUUUAGAAGAGCUUAGAAAGACGGUAAGCCGCUCUUUCCCAGAUGUUUGUAAGAUUACAAGAUCCCUCAUUAACAAAUUGAAUUGCCCUAAACUACAGCAAAUUAUUUCUACACACAUCUACACAUACAUGCUGUGUCAUCGAUAUUAAGUAAUUAAAACACCAUUUUCAAUUGAUCUUAAAGCAGUUAUUGAUUUUAUAAAACACAUUUAUUCAAAUUAAACAAUGAAAACUUUCAUUCAUUUAUCUUUAAAGAUAUUUUUACAUGACAGUAUGCGAAAACAACAACAUAUAAACAUAACAUAUUUAAAAUAAUCAAAACCUUUCCGCGUCUGCUUUAUUAAUCUCCAUUCUAAAAUAAAACAUUUCAAAAAAUUACCAGGAAAUAAUCGUGAAAGGCUGUUCUUUCUAUAUAGCUUUAAUUAGGAUCUAGAAGAUAAAAUUACCUGAAAGUGUUGUCAUUGUUAAAUAAAUUACGGAUGUGCGUCUUUACGUCAAGGUCGUGAUUCUACAUAACAACAUCCGCUUGACCUCGCAAUGCCAUGAAGAAGAAAGGCGUGGAACAUUUGCUUAAGAUCUUCAGCAGAUGUUUGAGAAAAAAAAUUAUCAUCCUCUUCAUCACUCUUCAUCCGUAUUUGGGGUAACAAACACCUGCUUCCCACAAGAGACUGGACCUCUGAAGUCAGAUAAUUUUACUGGUACAAUGUUGGAUGGAUCAUCAGACCUGCACCUUCCUUGAACAUGUUGGUAACUUACUCUGUAUUUGUUCACGGUGGUCACCCCAGGGUUUCAGGACUCAAAACGAGUGCUCUAUGGAUUGAACAGAAAAUGUGGAUCAACACUCCAACCAUCUGCAUUAGGGACUGAAUAAAGGAUGCCCUCCGUAGCUGGGAAUGUUAGAUCAGGCGGAUCAACAUUCCAUCCAUCUGCAUUAGGAUCUACCUUAGAGACACUCACUGGAGCUGUAAAUGGAAGCAGGUCACUUACUUUGCAUUCGUCCUUGGUGGUCACCCCAGGGUCUCUAGAGUGAAAAUUACUCAAUCUAUGGAUUAAACAGAAAAUUUAAUUUUAUGAAGUGGUAUGUUGUCUUUAAAUGCCAUUAAAAAUGUGUUUCUGUUUUCUGUCUCAUAUUAAAAAAUACUCUUUAACCUGCCCACUGGAUCUGGGAAUGCAAUUUGGGACAUUCUUCCAGUUGUCGGCAACUUUGUGAAAAAGGCUGGAAACUAAAAUGCAGAAUUCUGGCCUGGUGUUUGGUCUGUGCUGUCUUUGACUCUUGCAUCUCCAUCAUCCUGACCCUCUUUAGCAGCCUGUCCAUGUAUUUAUUCGGAGGCCACCAUGAGCACCCAACUGCAUAAUAUGA